AUUGAUUUGACUUGAUUUGUACUGAACUGAUGAAAGUUUUUUGUAAUAAAAAAGAAAAAAAAAAAAAUGUCCUCUAUAUGAGGACUACAUAUUAAGCAGAUUUUUGGCAAGAGGAGCAGAAAUUUGGAGCUUGCUCCCUUCUCUCCGAGCAUUGGCCUAGCAUUGCAGUGCCGCUGGGAACGGUGCACUCUGU